rnacentral:snRNA from 1 species
AUCGCUUCUCGGCCUUUUGGCUAAGAUCAAGUGUAAAAUCUGUUCUUUAAGCUUUUUUCUGAGGCCCUGAUGUGGAUCUCCAAAACUGUUACAAGCACCUUAAUUUUGUCUGACGUUAGGUCUACCAACUCUCUGCCAGAUGGUUCUCAUCAUGAUUUGAUCACCAUAUUUCUC